UACGUAGGGUGCAAGCGUUGUCCGGAAUUAUUGGGCGUAAAGAGCUCGUAGGCGGCGAGUCACGUCGGAUGUGAAAUCCCAGGGCUCAACCCUGGGUCUGCAUUCGAUACGGGCUUGCUAGAGUGUGGUAGGGGAGACUGGAACUCCUGGUGUAGCGGUGAAAUGCGCAGAUAUCAGGAAGAACACCGGUGGCGAAGGCGGGUCUCUGGGCCAUUACUGACGCUGAGGAGCGAAAGCGUGGGGAGCGAACAGG
rnacentral:rRNA from 1 species